GAUGAAGAACGCAGCGAAAUGCGAUAAGUAAUGUGAACUGCAGAAUUCAGUGAAUCAUCGAAUCUUUGAACGCACAUUGUGCCCGCCAGUAUUCUGGCGGGCAUGCCUGUUCGAGCGUCAUUUCAACCAUCAAGCCCCCGGCUUGUGUUGGGGACCUGCGGCUGCCGCAGGCCCUGAAAAGCAGUGGCGGGCUCGCUGUCACACCGAGCGUAGUAGCAUACAUCUCGCUCUGGGCGUGCUGCGGGUUCCGGCCGUUAAACCACCUUCAUAACCCAAGGUUGACCUCGGAUCAGGUAGGAAGACCCGCUGAACUUAAGCAUAUCAAUAAGCGGAGGA
rnacentral:misc_RNA from 1 species